rnacentral:rRNA from 1 species
AUUGAACGCUGGCGGCAGGCCUAACACAUGCAAGUCGAGCGAUCGGCGGACGGGUGAGUAAUGUCUGGGAAACUGCCUGAUGGAAGGGGAUAACUACUGGAAACGAUAGCUAAUACCCCAUACCAUCAGCUGUGCCCAGAUGGGAUUAGCUAGUAGGUGGGGUAACGGCUCACCUCGGCGACGAUCCCUAGCUGGUCUGAGAGGAUGACCAGCAACACUGGAACGGAGACACGGUCCAGACUCAUACGGUGGGCAGCAGUGGGGAAUAUUGCACAAUGGGCGAAAGCCUGAUGCAGCCAUGCCGCGUGUGUGAAGAAGGCCUUCGGGUUGUAAAGCACUUUAAGCGGGGAGGCGUUACCCGAAGAAGAAGCACCGGCUAACUCCGUGCCAGCCGCCGCGGUAAUAC